UUCAUGAAGUGUUUAAAAGUGGGCAUGCUGAAAGAAGGGGUGCGUCUUGACAGAGUACGUGGAGGUCAACAGAAGUACAGGCGCAGAAUAGACGCAGAGAACAGCCGAUACCUGAACCCUCAGCUGGUUCAGCCAGCCAAAAAGCCAUAUAACCAGAUUGUCUCACAUUUGUUGGUGGCUGAACCAGAGAAGAUCUAUGCCAUGCCUGACCCUACUAUUCCCGACAGUGACAUCAGAGCCCUCACUACACUGUGUGACCUGGCCGACCGUGAGUUGGUGGUUAUCAUUGGAUGGGCGAAGCAUGUUCCAGGCUUCUCUACCCUAUCCCUGGCGGACCAGAUGAGUCUUCUGCAGAGUGCUUGGAUGGAAAUUUUGAUUCUUGGUGUCGUAUACCGAUCCCUUUUGUUCAAAGAUGAACUUGUCUAUGCAGACGAUUAUAUAAUGGAUGAAGACCAGUCCAAAUUAGCAGGCCUUCUGGAUCUAAAUAAUGCUCUCCUGCAGCUGGUAAAGAAAUACAAGAGCAUGAAGCUGGAGAAACAAGAAUUUGUCACCCUCAAAGCUAUAGCUCUUGCUAAUUCAGACUCCACGCACAUAGAAGAUGUUGAGGCCAUUCAGAAGCUUCAGGAUGUCUUACAGGAGGCACUGCAGGAUUAUGAGGCUGGCCAGCACAUGGAAGACCCUUAUCGGGCUGGCAAGAUGCUGAUGCUGCCGCUCCUGAGGCAGACCUCUACCAAGGCCGUGCAGCAUUUCUACAACAUCAAACUAGAAGGCAAAGUCCCCAUGCACAAACUUUUUUUGGAAAUGCUGGAGCCCAACAUGGCCAUAGAAGGUGAUUGA